UAGGAAUCAGUGAUGGGCCUUCAGUCUCUGCAUUAACAAAUGGUUUUGACACUCCAGAAGAGAGGUAUCAGAAGCUUAAAAAGCAUUCCAUGGACUUUUUGCUAUUUCAGUUUGGCCUUUGCACUUUUAAGUAUGACUACACAGAUUCAAAGUAUAUAACGAAGUCAUUUAACUUCUAUGUUUUCCCGAAACCCUUCAAUAGAUCCUCACCAGAUGUCAAAUUUGUUUGUCAGAGCUCCAGCAUUGACUUUCUAGCAAGCCAGGGAUUUGAUUUUAAUAAAGUUUUUC
rnacentral:lncRNA from 1 species